GUGACCUUCCUUAGGCUCUGAGUUCUCCUGCAGGAAGUUCUGGCAGAGGAUAAAUUUAAAACGCUUACUUCUCCAACAGUCUGAUCUGCUGGUCGUUAUGGUGAUUGGUAUAAUGGUGGGAAAUUGCUUAUAACAAUAGGUUAUAAGCAACUUUCAAGUUUGGGUGUGUGUGUGUGGUGCGUGUGUGGAGGCGCGCUUGUGUGCGUGCGUGCGUGUGUGUGGUGGGAACAUGUGGGAACAGGUAACAUCAUUGUGGCAAAUCGCCCAAAGUCCUCCUGCUCUGCCAACUGUGUUCAGUCAUGCUCUGCCAAAUCUCGUAACAAGUUCAGGGCGCCCCCGCCCUCGCGAACUGCCUCUAACACACACGUUAUCCAUGGUUUUUUCUGAGCAUACACGUCACUCUGUAUUUUUCCACAUAUGGGUCAUUUUUCUAAAACGAACUAAGCAGCAGUAAAUCAUUGAAAAUAUACAGACAUAAUAAACAUUUGAUUAAUAUUCUCUUCUAAUAUUCUUUUCUACUAUACAGACAUACUAAACAUUUGAUUCAUAUUCUUUUCUAAGUGAGUAAAUGUACGUUGCAUUCUUUGCAUUCUUUGCUCUCAUUUCAACAGUUUUCACUGUGGUUCCUUGCGUUUUCAUAAGCUCAGCUAUAAUUAAUGUUCUAGGUUGAUUUUAUAACAAGCAGCAGUUAAUCAGUUUGAAACUGUACUGGUUACAUAUCAUACUUUCAUAUGGAUAUAUUGAUACGCUUUUAGCAUACAUCGUCGAGAGUUUUGGAGGAACCAGCCUGCUCACUAAGGUGGAGUCUAUUUAUCAUGCUUUUAGGAGGGAGAUCUUUUGUUCUGUGAAUUUUCCCCUACAGCUCCACAAAUAGUUUACAACAAACAAAUAAAUAAAUACAUUAAAAUACCAAAUGGGAGGGGGGUAAAAGGAAACACAUUGAUGACUUCAGAAAUGUGAGAUUUAGCCACCCUCAAUCCACACGUUGUUUUACAGCACAGCUCCUGUUUGUCUGGUGACCAUGUAAACCUGGGCCUGACACUGGUAAUAAGUCUGUGGCCUGAAGGUAAAAAAAAAUACGGCAGUUCUUCGUGCAAAAACGCGCUGUUAAUGAGAGAGAUCAGAGGAGCCAGACUCGGCCAGACCGGUGAAAGCUGGCAGGAAGCUGACAGUAACGCAAAUAACCAUGUAUUACAACAGUGGGAUGCAGAAGAGCGUCUCUGAACACACAAUGCGUCAAACCUCUAAGUGGAUAGGCUAUAGCAGCAGAAGAGUUAAUAAGUCAAAGAAAUAAGUCUAAUACCUAAAACCUAAUGAUAAUACCUAAUAAAAUGCUCAGUGAGUGCAUAUAUGUUUGUUUUGUUAAUUAAAUGCAAAAUCCCCACAACACAAAUGUAUUCCUGAUUAUAAUCAUUAUAUAAUUUUUCAUGUAUUCGUUUACAUUUUAGUCAUUUAGCAGACGUCCGAUGUAGACAGUGGUGCUGUCCUCAGCAAAAAUAUAAAAAUACAUAAAGAGUAUCGCUGCACGACAAACUGGCCUUGAGUGCAGAUUCUGUAGUGAACGAUGUGAAAUGGGGAUGACGAUUCUGUCCCUAAAAUGGUGGUGUUGCUGCUCUGAAUGUGGGAGGCUGAUGACUCACCUGUCAGACAGACAGACAGCAGACAGAUUACAUUAAUGUCAAUAAAAUGGCCAAUAGGCAGAGCAUUUGCAUCACCAUCUGCUGAAAGGGAAACAUAAGAUGAAAAAACAAGAUGGCUGAUGAGCAAAACAAAAUGGCCGACAAGCAGAAUACAUUUGAAAUGUAUUAAUAGACGACAUGUGGCAUGUAUUCUAUACCGAAGGUGAAUGGUUCAGUAGGACUGGUUUAUGCUCUGUCUUGUUUUCACUGGUAUGACAUCACUCACUGAUCAUGUGACUCCACAGAUGUGCCCGGAUUUUUGCCCUUUGCAAAUCCAGAUGUGGCCUUGGACCAGAGCUUGCAGCUCAUCAAUUCUGAAAACUGGAGGAGGGGUGGCCGUAGACCUGGAUAGGCGCGGCACAGGGCACGUGCCCUCCUCCAGAAGCGGAGCUCCACCCCGCCUGAGACCCCACCCAUGAGAGUCCCCAAGCCUCCCAGCUCGACUCCCAGCAGAGCCAUUCCGGCCCGGGCCAGGGCCCUCCUGCAGCGCCUAUCCAGGUCUGCGGCCCCCCCCCCCUCCUCCCCAAAGCGCCCCGUCAGUCAUCGUGGAGAGCCAGGGGCCCCUGCUGAUCCCCACACCUCCCACCGAGCCAAAGAAGAAGAAAUCCCGCUUCUCACUCUUCUCGGCUAUAAGCCAGUCAAAAGUAACAUUUGGUCUCAUGCGCUGGUCAGCCUCCUGGGGCAUACAUUGUUAGCCCCCACCGUUGCCAACGAGGAUUCUUAGAGGCUCCUUCUUGGGCCCUGGGGGCCCCCUUUUCUCACAUUCCAGAACAGGAAUAUUGGAGAUGGUAUAAAGAUGUUUCAUGAUAAUCCCAGGUCAGAAUAUAGUGAAGUUUGGUGUUAUUCUGAUUGGUUCAGUGCGACUGGUGUAAUGGUCUAGUUGUUGUAACAGCCUACCGUUGAUAUCAUAACCAUUCAGGAGUCGAGGGGAAACUGGGCAAAACCUGUCUCUGUAGAAGCCAUGUGUUUUAGUCCCCUGCCUGGUGGGCCUGGCUGUAAAUUAUAGAUGGGUGACUCACUUUUAGGGUCAAGAACUAAGGCCUGGAUUUCGGAGAUAAGGAGAAGAAACCAAACAGUCUGGGAUGUCUCCUUUCCUUUCAUUCACCCAAAUCAGGUUUAUCCAAAAGGUAUAUUACCAUGAGAGGCACAAAUACAUAUUUACAGCAUAAUGCAGUUAUCAUGAAAACUCCCAACUACAGCAUUCAUAGAUAUGAUGGGGCGGCCUGUAGCAUGGUGGUUAAUGCCGGACAAUGCCACAGUGCCCUCAUUUGGAUUAAAUAUUCAAAACUGCUAUUAUAGUAAAUAGACCCGGUAACACCUUGAAAACAUUGCCCAUGUGAUCCUUGUAUUAUUGCAUUAAGUCUUAUGUAAUGGUAACAGGAAUUGCAUGUAAAAUGGAUAAUCAGGAGGGAAGUUUCAUGAUAACUGCAACAUAAUAAAACAUAACGGUAAUCUGUUUGGUAUGGAUGUGAUCUGAUAAAAUCAAGGAAUCGGAUGAGAUACAUUUCAUACCAAAUGGAAUUUAAUAAACUAUAGUUUCAGUAUCCCAAGGGAAAACCUACCUGUCCUCUCUUGGUAAUCAUCUCAUUUUCCCUACUCAACAACCCCCAACGGUGGGGGUCUAAAUUCCAGAUUUGACCACCCCUCCAGGUUGAUUUAUGGCACUGCCGCCUGGUUCCAAACGUAUGAUUUGGCAUAAAAGCAAGGGAGACAGACCAAUCUGGGAAGAUCGUAUUCGACUUCCCACACAGCAUAUUGUACGUGUAUGUAACGACUUCCCACACAACAUGUCUUGUGUAUGUAUGUACGUAUGUAUGUGUAGCAGUGGAAGAUCGUAUUCGACUUUCCACACGGCAUAUUCUAUACUCUGUGUUUGUGUGUAGUCCAAGCAGGCUAGGUAUGAUUAUUUGAUUAUAUCUCUAUUCUUAAUUUGUGUAUUUUGUAAUUGAUUAUGAUAUUCUAAAGCUAAUAACCUACCUGUCUGCGAAUAAACUAUUUUGUUCGUAACUUG